rnacentral:rRNA from 1 species
UACGUAGGCAGCAAGCGUUGUUCGGAAUUACUGGGCGUAAAGAGUGUGUAGGCGGUGCUCUAAGUUUGUCGUGAAAUCUCCCGGCUUAACUGGGAGGGUGCGGCGAAAACUGGAGUGCUAGAGGGUGGGAGAGGAAAGCGGAAUUCCUGGUGUAGCGGUGAAAUGCGUAGAUAUCAGGAGGAACACCUGCGGUGUAGACAGCUUUCUGGACCACUUCUGACGCUGAGACACGAAAGCGUGGGGAGCAAACAGG